AUUGAACGCUGGCGGCAGGCCUAACACAUGCAAGUCGAACGAGUGGCGGACGGGUGAGUAAUGUCUGGAAAAGUGCCUGAUGGAGGGGGAUAACUACUGGAAACGGUGGCUAAUACCGCAUACCAUCAGAUGUGCCCAUAUGGGAUUAGGUGGUUGGUGGGGUAACGGCUCACCAAGGCGACGAUCCCUAGCUGGUCUGCGAGGAUGACCAGCCACACUGGAACUGAGACACGGUCCAGACUCCUACGGGAGGCAGCAGUGGGGAAUUUUGGACAAUGGGCGAAAGCCUGAUGCAGCCAGGCCGCGUGUAUGAAGAAGGCUUUCGGGUUGUAAAGUACUUUCAGCGGGGAGGCGUUACCCGCAGAAGAAGCACCGGCUAACUCCGUGCCAGCCGCCGCGGUAAUAC
rnacentral:rRNA from 1 species